UCUUCUCUGGUUAGUUUUCUUCUUCACAUAAUUGUGGUGGUUAUCUAAUCUUCUUUAUGUUUCUUUUCAGAUUCCUUUCUCUCUUUCUCUACACGCGCGACAAUGCAAAGGGGUACGGUAGCUCGAAGUAAAAAUAUACGUGUCGGCCAAUCAUACGAAGGAUACAUGGCAAGUUUAACUGCUUUUGAUUCAAGUUUCACAAUAUUUGAAUUCUUUAUUAAUUUAUAUUUUUAGAAUUCAUUCUUCAAUUUUUUUAGAACCGGAUGAUGUUGCCCACUAAAUGGGAAUAUAUUGAGUCUGAUGGACAUCAAACUUUGUGUGUUGUGAACUAUGGAAAAGCAACCCUCAUCUCCCGCGUCAUCGAGAUUGAUUUGUCAAAGUCAAUCGAAAUGAUGUAUACAAAGGUUAAUCAAAAUGAUGUAUAGAUCCUUCUACCAUCCUCCCUUCUAUCCAUAAUAUUCAACACCCUUGUAUAUUGGUUAUUAUUUCUUUUGUUAAUUAUAUUUCAUUUGAUA